rnacentral:rRNA from 1 species
AGCGAACGCUGGCGGCAGGCUUAACACAUGCAAGUCGAGCGGGCAUCCUUGUGGUGUCAGCGGCAGACGGGUGAGUAACGCGUGGGAACGUGCCCUUCGGUUCGGAAUAACUCAGGGAAACUUGAGCUAAUACCGGAUACGUGCGAGAGCAGAAAGGUUUAUCUGCCGAAGGAUCGGCCCGCGUCUGAUUAGCUAGUUGGUGAGGUUACGGCUCACCAAGGCGACGAUCAGUAGAUGGUCUGAGAGGAUGAUCAGCCACACUGGGACUGAGACACGGCCCAGACUCCUACGGGAGGCAGCAGUGGGGAAUAUUGGACAAUGGGGGCAACCCUGAUCCAGCCAUGCCGCGUGAGUGAUGACGGCCUUAGGGUUGUAAAGCUCUUUUCUCCGGGACGAUAAUGACGGUACCGGAGGAAUAAGCCCCGGCUAACUUCGUG